rnacentral:rRNA from 1 species
GUCAACGGUCAUACCACGUUUAAAAUACCAGUUCUCGUCCGAUCACUGAAGUCAAGAUAUGUUGGGCAUGGUUAGUACUUGGAUGGGUGACCGCUUGGGAAUACCAUGUGCUGUUGACA